rnacentral:rRNA from 1 species
UUUAUGGAGAGUUUGAUCCUGGCUCAGGAUGAACGCUGGCGGCGUGCCUAAUACAUGCAAGUCGAGCGAACGGACGAGAAGCUUGCUUCUCUGAUGUUAGCGGCGGACGGGUGAGUAACACGUGGAUAACCUACCUAUAAGACUGGGAUAACUUCGGGAAACCGGAGCUAAUACCGGAUAAUAUUUUGAACCGCAUGGUUCAAAAUUGAAAGACGGUCUUGCUGUCACUUAUAGAUGGAUCCGCGCUGCAUUAGCUAGUUGGUAAGGUAACGGCUUACCAAGGCAACGAUGCAUAGCCGACCUGAGAGGGUGAUCGGCCACACUGGAACUGAGACACGGUCCAGACUCCUACGGGAGGCAGCAGUAGGGAAUCUUCCGCAAUGGGCGAAAGCCUGACGGAGCAACGCCGCGUGAGUGAUGAAGGUCUUCGGAUCGUAAAACUCUGUUAUUAGGGAAGAACAUAUGUGUAAGUAACUGUGCACAUCUUGACGGUACCUAAUCAGAAAGCCACGGCUAACUACGUGCCAGCAGCCGCGGUAAUACGUAGGUGGCAAGCGUUAUCCGGAAUUAUUGGGCGUAAAGCGCGCGUAGGCGGUUUUUUAAGUCUGAUGUGAAAGCCCACGGCUCAACCGUGGAGGGUCAUUGGAAACUGGAAAACUUGAGUGCAGAAGAGGAAAGUGGAAUUCCAUGUGUAGCGGUGAAAUGCGCAGAGAUAUGGAGGAACACCAGUGGCGAAGGCGACUUUCUGGUCUGUAACUGACGCUGAUGUGCGAAAGCGUGGGGAUCAAACAGGAUUAGAUACCCUGGUAGUCCACGCCGUAAACGAUGAGUGCUAAGUGUUAGGGGGGUUUCCGCCCCUUAGUGCUGCAGCUAACGCAUUAAGCACUCCGCCUGGGGAGUACGACCGCAAGGUUGAAACUCAAAGGAAUUGACGGGGACCCGCACAAGCGGUGGAGCAUGUGGUUUAAUUCGAAGCAACGCGAAGAACCUUACCAAAUCUUGACAUCCUUUGACAACUCUAGAGAUAGAGCCUUCCCCUUCGGGGGACAAAGUGACAGGUGGUGCAUGGUUGUCGUCAGCUCGUGUCGUGAGAUGUUGGGUUAAGUCCCGCAACGAGCGCAACCCUUAAGCUUAGUUGCCAUCAUUAAGUUGGGCACUCUAAGUUGACUGCCGGUGACAAACCGGAGGAAGGUGGGGAUGACGUCAAAUCAUCAUGCCCCUUAUGAUUUGGGCUACACACGUGCUACAAUGGACAAUACAAAGGGCAGCGAAACCGCGAGGUCAAGCAAAUCCCAUAAAGUUGUUCUCAGUUCGGAUUGUAGUCUGCAACUCGACUACAUGAAGCUGGAAUCGCUAGUAAUCGUAGAUCAGCAUGCUACGGUGAAUACGUUCCCGGGUCUUGUACACACCGCCCGUCACACCACGAGAGUUUGUAACACCCGAAGCCGGUGGAGUAACCUUUUAGGAGCUAGCCGUCGAAGGUGGGACAAAUGAUUGGGGUGAAGUCGUAACAAGGUAGCCGUAUCGGAAGGUGCGGCUGGAUCACCUCCUUUCU